rnacentral:rRNA from 1 species
GAUGAACGCUGGCGGCGUGCUUAACACAUGCAAGUCGAACGAUGAAAGCGGGAGCUUGCUCCUGCUGGAUUAGUGGCGAACGGGUGAGUAACACGUGAGCAAUCUGCCCCGAACUCUGGGAUAAGCGUUGGAAACGACGUCUAAUACCGGAUACGACGCGCGAAGGCAUCUUCUGCGCGUGGAAAGAACUUCGGUUCGGGAUGAGCUCGCGGCCUAUCAGCUAGUUGGUGAGGUAACGGCUCACCAAGGCGACGACGGGUAGCCGGCCUGAGAGGGUAACCGGCCACACUGGGACUGAGACACCGCGCAGACUCCUACGGGAGGCAGCAGUGGGGAAUAUUGCACAAUGGGCGAAAGCCUGAUCCAGCAACGCCGCGUGAGGGAUGGCGGCCUUCGGGUUGUAAACCUCUUUCGGUUGGGACGAAGCGCGAGUGACAGUACCUACUAAAGAAGCACCGGCCAACUACGUGCCAGCCGCCGCAGUAACAC